CAGCUCAAGUUUCUCUUCAUUCACGCAUAAAUCUUUCGCCUUUUACUAAAGAUUUCCGUGGAGGGGAACGUUUGCGAGUUAUUGGUAUUUUUGGAUGCUCUGCUCACAGUAGAGCU